rnacentral:lncRNA from 1 species
GUCAGAAGUGGUUCCCGGGUUUGGUGGUGGGGUGAGGAGGAGAAAUGGAAGUUUACCCAGAGAGUUUCCACUGUUUGAUUGUUUUGUUUCUUUAAAAAGCUUAAAUGAAUAGGACUUAAUGUUCAUACGCUGGAAAGUUCCAUAUUUAAUUUUCUAUUCUUACCUGUUUCAUUUAUUUAUUUAUUUAUUUGAGGAAGAUUAGCCCUGAGCUAACAUCUGCUGCCAGUCCUCCUCUUUUUGCUGAGGAAGACUGGCCCUGAGCUAACAUCCAUGCCCAUCUUCCUCUACUUUAUAUGUGGGACGCCUGCCACAGCAUGGCUUGCCAAGCGGUGCCAUAUUCGCACCCAGGAUCCAAACCAGCGAACCCCAGACCGCCUAAGCAGAAUGUGUGCACUUAACAGCUGCACCACCGGUCCGGUCCCUUAUCUGUUUUAGAAAUUGUUCAGAAUAAAAGAUAAUCAUUUUUUUAAAAAAGAAGAGGAAACAAGGAAGAGCACUGGGCCAGAGUUCCCGUUGGGAUUCCAGGUGCAGAUCUGCAGGCCCCCACUGUUGCCUUGGCCUCCAGCCCGCGGCGUCUGGCUGGGCCGUGUGCAGGGCGUCUGGCCCCAGGGAGAGGUGGGGUAAGCCGAAGUCUACACCUACACGGCUAUAAAUAGGGAGACUCUGAGGACUGCUCACUCAGCCUCCCGCCCCCAGCUGUGACAGCACCGGAGCCUCUCGGACGCCUGGACCAUGGACCCCAGGGAAUGCUCCUGCAUGUCUGAAGGAAUCUGCCUCUGUGGAGACAACUGCAAAUGUACAACUUGCAACUGUAAAACAUGUCGAAAAAGCUGCUGUCCCUGCUGCCCACCAGGCUGUGCCAAGUGUGCCCGGGGCUGCGUCUGCAAAGGGGGCUCGGACAAGUGCAGCUGCUGCCCCUGAAACGCAUCCAUCGUGCUGGGGGCGAGGCCUGGGAAGCAUCUGUACAGUGUAUUAGUCAAGAAGUCAGAAUGAUUGUACAAUAGGUUGUGCUUUUUAUAUAUUUGCUGUUUGGUGACAGUCAUGUAAAGUGCUUGGAGCAAUAAAGUUGUCACUCGUGGUUGUCUGGUGGCUCAGAGCACUGUUUUACCCUAACCCAGCAGGACUAAGAAGGGCUGACUCCAUUGCAGAUACAGUAGGGACCAGCCUGCAUCCCUUCUGCAGAUGGCUGCUAACCCCAUGAUCCCUCAGGCUUGCUCCUGCUGCGUGAACUUGCUGGACGCAUGCACAGGACAGGCUGGGAGUAUUGGGAGUCAACACCCUUGGGAACAGCCCUUAAUGGAUGACAAACAGGAGCUGGUGGAUAAAUACCCCCAGCAUCUUUAUUCUUACAGUGAGACAAAUCUGAGAUAUUCUACACCAUCCCCAGAAGUCCCCAGCAGCACUGAGCUCCAAUAGCCCACUGUGAAACCUGCUCAUUAACAUGCCCCAUAUUGGCUUCAUUCCUUCUCUGCCCCACUUCUGCAUUCUCCUACCAGUGCUUCCUGGGAUCCCCACCCAAAGAAGUACUUUUACAGGGUCUGCUCUGGGGGUGACCCAUCUAAGCCAGGCUCUCCUGACAUGCUGUUGACCAAGAAUGCCUCACUGUGCUAAUGGUGCUGUUUAAGGGGCGUUAGCACUGAAUCAGCCACAAACGGGGUGUCUGUGCAGAUCUAAGGAAAAGCCCCAAGGCCAAGACAAUGAGGGCAUUAGCUGCCCAGGUUUGGAUAUUGGGCCAGCCUUCAGGAUGGGGCGACUGCGCAGACAGGGCCCAGGGGCAGCUGAUGCUGUUCAUUGCAGUUCUUGCAUUUCACAGAAGUCAAUGCAAAGAGAAACCGAAAUCUUCCAUUAUUUCACUCAGAUUGCUGACGUGAAUCAGAGCUUUCGCUACACCAGCACAAUUCCGAUGAAGUUUGAUGAUGAUAAUAGUUGCCAUUAUGCAGCACUCAUGAUGCACCAGCCAUUGUUCUGAGCACUUUACACACGUGCUCUCAUUUAAUCCCUACAAUAGCCCUGCAGAGGGGUGGGUCGUGUGGAGGCAUCCUUGAUUUUUAAAAAAUGAAUUAUUUUUAAACAGGUCUACACACACAAUGUACAAAACACAAAGAUACAAAAGGUAUAAGUCUUCUCCCCAUAUUCAUGCCCCAGUCUCCCCUCCCCAAGAUAACUACAGUAACCCCUUUCUUGCGUAACCUUCCAGGGUAUUCCAUGCCUGUACAAGGAUGUAUGACACACAGCAUCACACACACACACACUGCAGAGUACUACAUACCCUGGGAAACUUGGGAAAUGUUUUCCCUUGUAUAGUAAACUCUCCAUCAGGUCCUUUUUUCCACUUAAGAGAGAAGAAUAAGUAUAAGGAAAAAUAAGAAGAUUAAACAACCACGAAAUAAGGUGACAAGACAAGAAAACGAUGGAAAGGCCUGGCCCUUGGAGUCUGACGCUCCACCUUCCCCCACUGCGUGACCUUGACCAAGUCACUUACCUCUGAGUCUCAGUUUCCGCUUCGUGAAACAUACCGCCCUCCCAGGGAGAGACCAUAGCAAAAGGUCUAUGCACAUAGUAGGUGCUUCAUAAACAGGGAUUUUAGUAGGGCUGCAGCCUUUCUUAGGCUUCGGUUUAUUAAUCUCUGAGAAGGUCCCCACCAAGUCACUCUCUGAUUGCAGAGCUCUCAGGCCCCUUGGGAAGGAGGUGAUGUUGGCAAUGACACUGUCCAGGGGACAGAGCAGUCCCUUGUGUCUCCAACAGGCACGCAGGCCACUCUCCCUGCCACCUCAGCCUCAGCACCCACAGGGAUGCCAUCUCAGCUCAUCUAAAUGCUUUACCCGAACAGUCUCCUUUAUUCCUAUCACAACCUGGAAGCGACAAUCAGCCCCCAGAGUCUAAUUUUAAUAAUAAUACCAAUCACCAAUAUUUAUUGAGCACUUCAUAUGUGCCAAGCACUGGAGUAAGCAUUUUGUAAACAUUAUCCCAUGGGCCCUGCACAAUCCGGGCUGCGCUAGAGCUGGGCAAUCUGGGCUCUGCUAUGGACCCCCUGCCUUACAGAGUCUGUCUCUGACCCUC